GGAGCGGGGGCGCGGCGCUCCUGCCCGGCCUACGCGGGCGGGCGGGACAGCGGCCAAGCCUCGCGCGCCGCCGGGGGACAGGCGACCUCCCCCGGUCACAGGCAGCAGCCGCGGCGCGGCCGGCGGUACUCACGUAGUGCUUGGACGGGCUCCUCCGCUUCUCCACGUCCACCACGGCGGCCUCCCGCACGCAGCAGGCGAGCAUCUUCGCGCGUCUCAAGCGGCGCCCCCGGCGGCGUCACCUCGUCAUCCCGGCCGGGCUCAGGCUCCUUCUCCGCCCCCCGGACCCCGGGCCCGGGCUCGGGGGCUCCGCGCUGGGCCUGGCGGCAGCGGCUCCCCACACAGGCGUCCGAGCGCCGGCGGCUCCCCGCGGGCCCGGCCCCGCGCCCUCCUCUUCCUGCCUCCCGGGCCGCUCGGCGCCGUCCGCGCUCUCGGCCGCCCGCCGCAGCCCUGUGUCAGUCUAAGGCUGGAUUCCCCUAUUUGCUUGGGGCAGAGCUCCCCACUACGCUCUGGCCUGCUUGGAGAAGGGUGUGAGGACCCCCAAACGACGGCACACGAGUUGCACCAACAGAUGCCACGCGUAAUGAGGACUACGAGAGUCGAGCUCCAGGCAUUGAGAUCUGGAUGGCAGGGCCUUCCCUAUGAGAGAGGACGGUGGAAACCUCAUGUGGAUGCAGGGGUCCUGGCAGAAAGUGAUAUGGCCAUGAUGCGUGGGUGGCCGGAAAAGGCGGAGACAAGGCACUGCCUGCUGAGCCAGGCUUGUCCAUGAAGGGGCCAGGGGCAGACCCACAGUAGGCCCUCAGGUCAGAGCUUGCAAACGUGGGAUGGUGCCAGCGUAGCCCCAAGUCCUCUCUGGGGAUGAAUGGAGGCAUCUGCAAGUUGGCUGGUGCCUGAUGCAGAGCUGGAGCACAGGAUAGUCAGUGUUGGAAAGAAACGGAGAGGAUGAAAGAAACCCCUAUUCUGCCACCUCCGUCUGUGCAUUGGAGGUGACGCUGAGCCUAGGACAUUACACAAGCAAUUAGUUGUAAAAUGCUUAGAAUCAAAGAGCUCGUCAGGCUGGAAAGGAUCAGAGGUCAUUCUGAGGAGGGAGCUGAGGCCUAGAGAGACUUGAGCGAGGUGCCUGAGGCCACACACUUAAUUAGUCCGAGGUCAGCGGCCGCUCCCUCCACCUUGCCUACAUGUGCCUGUCCACAGGUGAGAAGAGCUCCUUAGUGCACGUACUGCCACUUGCAGAUGGAGGAUGUCGUGUGCCUCUGAACCCCGGGGGUCACUUGGCUCCAAUUUUCCAUUCAUCCAGCAUCACAAGUUGGCUGGACUGCCCAGCAAAGGGGACUGGAGACUUCUCCAGGACAGCGGCAGUGGGGCCUCCAUGCUCCGAGGCCACACACGCAUCAGCUCUGCCUAGGCAGAGCCCACCCUGCCUCCCCUCCUGGGGAAGGCCUCAUGGCCACCCCGAGAAGACAGCAUACCGGAGAGAACCCAGAAUUGUUAAUGCUAAGCAUGGGCGCUGCAUAAUCCUGUAUUCCUCCUUAGAAG
rnacentral:lncRNA from 1 species